rnacentral:rRNA from 1 species
ACGCUGGCGGCGUGCUUAACACAUGCAAGUCGAGCGAUGAAACUUCUUCGGAAGUGGAUUAGCGGCGGACGGGUGAGUAACACGUGGGCAACCUGCCCUAUAGAGGGGAAUAGCCUUCCGAAAGGAAGAUUAAUACCCCAUAAGAUUGUAGCUUCACAUGGAGUAGCAAUUAAAGGAGCAAUCCGCUAUAGGAUGGGCCCGCGGCGCAUUAGCUAGUUGGUGAGGUAACGGCUCACCAAGGCGACGAUGCGUAGCCGACCUGAGAGGGUGAUCGGCCACAUUGGGACUGAGACACGGCCCAGACUCCUACGGGAGGCAGCAGUGGGGAAUAUUGCACAAUGGGGGAAACCCUGAUGCAGCAACGCCGCGUGAGUGAUGAAGGCCUUCGGGUUGUAAAGCUCUGUCUUUGGGGACGAUAAUGACGGUACCCAAGGAGGAAGCCACGGCUAACUACGUGCCAGCAGCCGCGGUAAUACGUAGGUGGCAAGCGUUGUCCGGAUUUACUGGGCGUAAAGGGAGCGUAGGCGGACUUUUAAGUGGGAUGUGAAAUACUCGGGCUCAACCUGAGUGCUGCAUUCCAAACUGGAAGUCUAGAGUGCAGGAGGGGAAAGUGGAAUUCCUAGUGUAGCGGUGAAAUGCGUAGAUAUUAGGAAGAACACCGGUGGCGAAGGCGACUUUCUGGACUGUAACUGACGCUGAGGCUCGAAAGCGUGGGGAGCGAAC